GGGGUUGUAGCUCAGUGGUAGAGUGCUCUUCUGUCAUGUGUGAGGUACUAGGUUCGAUUCUAAGCACCACA
rnacentral:tRNA from 1 species